rnacentral:misc_RNA from 1 species
UCGAUUAUUUUUGUUUUGACUAUAAAAUUAUUGUUUGCUGUGUAAAUUUCACAAAUAUUUAUAAUUCUUAAUGAUCCUUCCGCAGGUUCACCUACGGAAA